CUGUGUUUUCUGAUGUCCUUUGUCUCAUACCCGGCCCAUCUUUAUGUUUUCUUAAUAUUGGUAAUGAAGAUGAACGGUGUCCAAUCUUGUGCUUGCAAAGUUGCACCCUAAACCCCUCCAUCAGGAAUUCCUUUUAUUCCCUUGUAGGAAUUUGAGUUAGGCAUUAGGAAGUGUGUAUAGGGUUAGUUAAUUUGCCCUAACACACAUACAUAUUAUUUGCAUUUGAGCAAUACAAUGAUAUUAUAGUUUUGCCCCUCAUACAGUGAUUUUGCACCAAGCCUUAAUUCCCCAAAAAUUGUGUAGUAAUAACAAAGAGAUUUAGUAAGUUUAGUGACAGACAUUAGACUAAAGGGAAAAUUUGGAAUAUAAAUGACCAAAGAUAUUGAAAGGGUGGGACUAAGGUUGGCAAUGCCCAAACCAGACAUACUUGUGGUUAAGUCAUCUUCCAAUGUGAUCUGGGGAAGAUUAUUUGGACGCUCAAGGUCGGAAAGCAAACCUGAAGUACCAAUCAUGUGAUCAAUAGCUCUUGAGUCAAUGACCCAGGUUCCCUGAGCAGUGAAGCAAGCAAUGGAAGUACCUGUCUGAGUUAGCAGUGGAGGACACAACAGAAAUGGAUAGCAACAUGUGACCAAAAAACAGCAUGUGAAUGAGGUCAAUUAAAUAAAAUGUGACCCCAUGAGAAACACUAAAGGUGGAACCAAUUAACACAAAUGGGAGAAAGGGAAUUGACAUAAUUAAACUAAAUCCAGCCAACCAAAUACACCAAGCCUUUUAUUUUAACAUAGACUGCGUAGAACCUUCACCAAACAACAAUAAAACUGCCUAACCAAAUCAUAAAUCAACUGGUCAAAUAGAAAAUGAACCAAACGAACAAGGCUGAACAUCAUGCUACAGAACCGCCAAAAAAAUAUGAGAAUCAACAUGUACCGGUGAAAGUCAGACCCUUAAUUAGAGCAGUGAACUGUGUUAAAAAAUGACAACUUGCAUGAUACAAGAGGAGAAUCCAGACAUAUCAGAUGAAAGGUAAACCUGAGGACACCAAUUAAGCAAGGACAAGUCAAAUCAGCCUGGUAGAGUCAGUUAUGGUGAGACUAUUGGUGGCUGCAACACUAGCUGGAUCAUGGUUGGUGUCAGAUUGGGUUGAAAAAUCUUGGGUUUUUGAGUUUGGGUGG